UUUCUUGUGAGAGAAAUCAACAUGGGACAACAAUACGUCUACGACGAAUGUGUCGAUGAUCACGACAGUCCUCCUCCGACCUCCGUUCGCCAGUCUUAAUAAGUUAAGCGCAAUGCGAAGUGUCGCCAUUUCCUUUGCCAUCAUUGGGAGGUCAUCUGAACAUUGGGUGCUUGUCUUGAGACGCUGAAGGCACACAAGAUCAUGGAGACAGGAAUAAGAAAGAGCGAUGACGACGCCAGGAACCAGCCAAUCCAAUAGGCCCACCAAGGAUAUACAUACGUGUUGUUGAACUUGAGUGGCGUGUAUUUCAGCAACAAGAACACGAGUGUUCCCUUCAAAAAGAGACAAAAAGUCGCAUGAAAUGUAAUGAAAUAAAAACAUACAUAUGAGUCGACUGUUUUUUGU